rnacentral:rRNA from 1 species
UACAGAGGUCCCAAGCGUUGUUCGGAUUCACUGGGCGUAAAGGGUGCGUAGGUGGUAGGGUAAGUUUGAUGUGAAAGCUCCGAGCUCAACUCGGAAAUGGCAUUGAAUACUAUCCUGCUUGAGGGUUGGAGGGGGGACUGGAAUUCUCGGUGUAGCAGUGAAAUGCGUAGAUAUCGAGAGGAACACCGGUGGCGAAGGCGAGUCCCUGGACAACACCUGACACUGAGGCACGAAAGCUAGGGGAGCAAACAGG